UUGGAGGGCAAGUCUGGUGCCAGCAGCCGCGGUAAUUCCAGCUCCAAUAGCGUAUAUUAAAGUUGUUGCAGUUAAAAAGCUCGUAGUUGAAUUUCGGGAUUGGCGUGUCGGUCGUGCCUUACGGGGUAUGAACUGGCGUCGUCGAUUUCUCACCUUCUGGAGAAUCACGAUGCCCUUAAUUGGGUGUCGUGUGGAACCAGGACCUUUACCUUGAAAAAAUUAGAGUGUUUAAAGCAGGCAUUUUUGCUCGAAUACAUUAGCAUGGAAUAAUAAAAUAGGACGGUUUGGUUUUAUUUUGUUGGUUUCUAGGAUCACCGUAAUGAUUAAUAGGGAUAGUUGGGGGCAUUAGUAUUCAAUUGUCAGAGGUGAAAUUCUUGGAUUUAUUGAAGACUAACUACUGCGAAAGCAUUUGCCAAGGAUGUUUUCAUUAAUCAAGAACGAAAGUUAGGGGAUCGAAGACGAUCAGAUACCGUCGUAGUCUUAACCAUAAACUAUGCCGACUAGGAAUCAGACGAUGUUAAUUUUUUUAAUGACUCGUUUGGCACCUUACGGGAAAC
rnacentral:rRNA from 1 species